UUCAGAUCUAUAAUGCUGAUGAAACUGAUCUAGUGUGGAGAGGUAUUCCAUCUGAAACAUUAGCUAGUAGACUAGUGGAAUCUCUACCAUGCCCUCAGAAGGCGAGUGCGGUGACCCAUAGGGCCAUCUGUGCAUCUCAGUGUGAAAGUUGGAAAUCUUAUGUCUCUGCCAUUACUGUUGGCACCCAUCUACCUAAGAUCUGGAAGAAACUAUUCAUGCAUCAGAUUGCAGAUGCAUCAAAACCUUGACACAGCAUAGGCUCCAAGAUACAACAUGGAAUGUUGGACAAGCUCAGCCUAAUACUUGACCCUUCGUCCUUCUACUAAAGCAGCUUGUUCGAGUAGUAGGAUGAAGUUGGUUCGUACUCAACUAGUUGAAUAAAAAAAUAUCCCAGCGUGCAUGCACCAAGCCAUCAGCCUGUGUCCCAUAUCUUGCAUUCAGUCUGUUGAUCCUGGGCCUAGAACAGAUGUAUCAGGUAGGGAUGAGGGAGCAACAAGGGUUCACCCAGAAAGGGGCAUUUCAUUAUAAUCAAUGCUGGUUUUCUUGGGAGAACCAGCAUUGCUGACAUGUCCUGAUUUAUCCUCUGAUGUUUCACCAAUAGUUUUAUCACUUGUUUUUCUUUAUUUACAUUCAGUGUCAUUAUAUCCAUAUUUGCAUCAUACAUAUAAAACCCAGACA